GAGGACAGCGUCCCGCUAACCUGCUGACUUAAGUUAAGAGAUCCAAGAAUGUGUACAUAUUCCUCCUUAUUCCAGCUCUGGUAUCUAGAACUGCAUCUAUGCACUAAUACCAAAGUAAUCACCGUUGCUGUAAAAUCCUGCAUAUUUGAAACCGGUUCCGAUGACAUAAGAGUUUGAUGUGUGUCGAGACUAUUUUGACUAUUUUCUCCCCACAUUUCAUCUGGUUCCCGGUGGGAAAAUGAAGGCAAACGCAGAAACGCUUUAGAGCCAAGAAAUGAUACACGGUCCCAUUAUAUAAUGAGACAUUGAACACACCAUGACCUUCUCACCUUGACUCGUCCUCUGACGUGGUCACUAAGUCUCACUCACUGAAGUCUGGCUUUAGCGAGGUUAGAUUUGUUUGUUUUGUUGGACACAUCUGUGCAGAAUCACAGCUGCUGAGUUUAGCUCAUCUUUCCCUGUUAACGUCUCAAGACAUCCGUUAUUUACUAAAUGUUGAGAGUAUAUUGUACAUAUUUUACUUACGGAUUAGUUUGACCUUUUGGGAAAUGCGCUUAUUUAUUUCCUCGGUUAGAUAAUAAAUACCAUGUGUUUAUAAAUACACAUCUAAAGCUCACUAUUUAACGGGAGCCCACUAAGUGCGCUUCAGGUGGUGUAUUAGAUUAAAGUUUGGACUCUUCAGACUUCAUGCUAAGCUAAGCGCCUCCAAGUGACUCGCUCCAUCUUUAAACUCACAGGUAUCGAGCUUCUCAUUAAACUGGUCGAGAGCUUUUCCCAAAAUGUGCAAAACCACUUUUUUCGACUAUGCAACACAUUGAAUCUAGAGACGCAUCGCUUUCUCUUUUAAAGGGCCAGUGCACCCAAAUUAUAGGAAGGCUUUCUAUUUUCUUAUCGGUAGAAUUAAUUUUGUGUUGCAUUUAGAAAUAGUUUACUUACAAUCUCAACUUUAAACUGAAUGGACAUCAUGUCUUUAAAGUGAACAUCAACCGAUCUGCUAAUUAAAAAGAAAUGCUCCGGACAGUUAGAUGGACCUUAUGGUGAAAACUGUUUGUUAUAAAGAGUAACCAGAACAUCGUUUUUGAAGACGCGCUGUUGGAGUGAACCGACCCUUUACUGCAGCGUUGUAAUGCGGGAUCAGAAGCCAGAACACACCGGGCAAACAGUCAGAACAUUUUCCAUCAGUUUUACCUUAAUUGUCUGCAACAUUACGUCCGUUUGUCCUUGUUGGGAUCAAUAAUCACAUCAUGGAUUAGAGCAACCUUUAGUUCACCAUGACAUCAUCUUGUUUCCCAUUUAUUGAGUUAAAACAUUCUGGUUUACAAAGAUCGAUGUUACGCUGUUUAUAUUUAUAGAAUGGUAACCUCUGUAAUAAUAAUAAUCUGUAAAACAGAAUCAAGGCUUUUUGUUUUUCAUUCUGGAUCGAAUUUGCCUUUCUUGCUUAAAAAUAUACACAUUGAUAAUUUUGUCAAGUAUUUUUCUUUCAGUAAAAAAAGAAAAUCUGAUUUAGGAAUAACACUUUUGAACGACCUGAAUAAAAAGUAAAAACGAAGCACUCAUUUUAAUUUUAUAUAAGUUUAUAUUUUACAUAUAGUACAGUAUUUUUUGAUAGACCAUUUUAUUGACAGUGUAAAAGAAAAGACAGGUUUUAAAAAAAGGAAAAAUAUGUUUUUUUUAACCAAACCUAGGCAAUGACGGAACUGAAGUAGUAGAUUUAUUUUUGUUUUAUCCACAAACUGGAAGGUAUAACUGUUAAAAUGCAAAGUUGAUUUGCUCUUAUUGAUUCAAGCUGCUUUGCAUGCAGUGUUAUAGGUUUGGAUCAGAACUAAAAACAUUCAACAAAACAAAAAUGCUACUUUCAGUCCAACCAAUUCCACCUUUUUCAUUUGGAUUUAGGACAUAUUGCACACUUCAGUUCAUGCCAAAGUAAAAAUGUAACAGAAAACAGGAAGUCAGAAAAAUAAAUCCUCGUCUCUUCAUUAAUGCUAAUUUAUAAAAACCGAACUGCCGGUGGCGGCUGAUGAACGUCAGUGAAGACAGUGAUUGAGAUGCACCCACUGGUAGGAUCACAGUAAUACACCCAGCACUGGUGACCUUUGACCUCAUGCAGCCUUUACUGAACACCGUCUAAUCGGCUUCACUAACAACUCUUUCCUACAGUGGCUCCUAAAAUACUUUAAAUUGAGUAACGACUACAGAACAGCUGCAGGCUGGUGGAGAAGCGUCGGCUCGUCUGCAGUUUCAUUUGAUUGUCCGAUUGGUGAGAUUGAUUUUUACUGAUAAAACGCUUCAACCCUCUUGAACUGUAUCAACAGUACUUUGUUUUGUGGAGCUCCUUCUGAUUUUACAUUAGCGUGAUUAAAGAUGGAGACAUUGCCAUAAUGCAGAAUGAUUACUGUACAGAGCAUUUAGACGUGACGCGGUGGUUUUUGGUGAUUCGUCUAGCCAGAAACAAAACACACACUUUGCAGAUCUGGACGGGAGGAAUACAUUCUCAGAGCUCCUUCCAGAGCAGACGCCCUGGAGCAGUUCCACAGCGCGGGUUCCUCUGUUCAUGAUUUUAGAGCUUUGGAGGGACGAUAAAGUUGCAGGAAAUGUGAGAUGAAAUACAUUCAGCGUCGGGUCAAUCGAACCCUCGUUUCUGCAGGAACCCCGGAGCUUUACAAACACGCAACAUUUCUCCAGUGGGGAAAAACAAAAACUAAA